UACGUAGGGUGCGAGCGUUGUCCGGAAUUACUGGGCGUAAAGAGUUCGUAGGUGGUUUGUCGCGUUGUUCGUGAAAACUCACAGCUUAACUGUGGGCGUGCGGGCGAUACGGGCAGACUGGAGUACUGCAGGGGAGACUGGAAUUCCUGGUGUAGCGGUGGAAUGCGCAGAUAUCAGGAGGAACACCGGUGGCGAAGGCGGGUCUCUGGGCAGUAACUGACGCUGAGGAGCGAAAGCGUGGGGAGCAAACAGG
rnacentral:rRNA from 1 species